rnacentral:rRNA from 1 species
UGGGGAAUAUUGGACAAUGGGCGCAAGCCUGAUCCAGCCAUGCCGCGUGAGUGAUGAAGGCCCUAGGGUUGUAAAGCUCUUUCAGCGAGGAGGAUAAUGACGUUACUCGCAGAAGAAGCCCCGGCUAACUUCGUGCCAGCAGCCGCGGUAAUACGAAGGGGGCUAGCGUUGUUCGGAAUCACUGGGCGUAAAGCGCACGUAGGCGGACUUUUAAGUCAGGGGUGAAAUCCCGGGGCUCAACCUCGGAACUGCCUUUGAUACUGGAAGUCUGGAGUCCGAGAGAGGUGAGUGGAACUCCGAGUGUAGAGGUGAAAUUCGUAGAUAUUCGGAAGAACACCAGUGGCGAAGGCGGCUCACUGGCUCGGUACUGACGCUGAGGUGCGAAAGCGAGGGGAGCAAACAGGAUUAGAUACCCUGGUAGUCCACGCCGUAAAACGAUGGAAGCUAGCCGUCAGGGUGCAUGCAUCUUGGUGGCGCAGUUAACGCAUUAAGCUUCCCGCCUGGGGAGUACGGUCGCAAGGUUAAAACUCAAAGGAAUUGACGGGGUCAUAGCUGUUUCCU